CGUUCCCGGAUCUUGUACACACCGCCCGUCACACCAUGGGAGCGGGUUUUACCAGAAGUAGGUAGCCUAACCGCAAGGGGGGCGCUUACCACGGUAGGAUUCGUGACUGGGGUG
rnacentral:rRNA from 1 species